AUCUGUGACAAUUUCUUUUUCUUUCAGAUGAAUUAAACCAGGAAGAUCUUCAGGGCUUUUUGGCGCAAAGAGAAAGCAGCGAAGAUGAGGGUAACUACUCAUCCGGCGGUUCCAGUAUUGUGAGUGAAAAUCUGAGACAAGAUGUUGGUAAGAUUAA
rnacentral:sRNA from 1 species